UAGAGAAAGAGAAAACGCAAUUUUACAAGAAUGACCUUUAUAAGAAAAAAAACUGCCCUACCCCUUAAUAGCGUGCCAUACCCUCUCCCUUUUACCAGGACCUAUUUGUGAAUCGUAACUCCUCUGAAUGUGAGCUACAUCUCAACACCUCUAUCCAAAACGGAUGAUUGUCCCCAUCAGAAGACCACUUAAGAGUAAAAUAAGGAAGAAAUAUGUAAGGGUAAAAAAGAAAUAGUGUAUAAGGGUAGUCUGGUCCUUUCUAUUAUAACAAACAUGUAUAUAGGGUUAGGGUUAGCAUAGUUGAACAGAAACGGAAGCAGAAAACAGGGACGAAAGGGACACUUACCCAAUCAUACUGGCCUCACAAACUGUUGCAACCUCCAAAGCACACCUAGACAGAAUACACGCCAUUGUAGCUUAUAAAUAGGCUUGAAUUCCAUGUACUAAUCAUCAAGAAUAUAUUACCUCCAAGCAACUAACCUCUCUUCUCUGUUAUCUUUUCUCUGCUCGGAGUCAGGAACGAGGUUCGUCACAAGGUGAUAUUAGAGCAGUGUACCAAAUCCAACGGGGAGCCGGUGGUGGUGGUGGAGGUGGAUUUGGCAAAAACAAUGGUCGUCCAACCCACCGUGAAGGUUGCCGACCCGCUUUGGACCAAAAUUUGAAUGGAAGCUUACAAGAAAUGCAGAUGACUGGAUCUGAUUACGGAGAUAUUGCAUGGCGAUAAUUCUUUACAAAAGAUGUGACGCCGGUGGCACGAGCGUAGCCGUCUCCAUUGGGCAACAAAAGAUCCCACAAUCCUCUGUUGCAAGAGAAGCAAAUGGGAACAGAAGAGACGAAACGGUUGAAAAAGAGGAAAACCCUAAAACUAAUUCA
rnacentral:lncRNA from 1 species